AUUGCAUCAAAUGCUAUUGAGUUUUGCAGCAGAGAGGUUUAUUAUUACUUUGUUUACUGUUUGUGUUCAUACGAAUUUAUUAUGCACUCCAUUUUCGUUAUUGUUUCUUUUUAAUACAGAUUGGCAGUCUAUGAAGUUCAGGGAUUUUACUGUCUGUCCUGUUCAUUAAGGCAAAAAUCUAUAAAGGCACUUAUACUUGCAAAGACCCAUUGUAGAGGUCUAGCUCCCAGAGUCAAAAUCCCACACCUGGAUUAGGCAAAUGCAUUUCCUGGUGCAUUCAGGGAGCUGAACACAUGGGACCAGAAUUUAAAACAGCCAAAUGAUGCCUGGCCUGAAGGUCUGGUAUUUGUAAAACAGCAUGGGAAAUGGAGAGAGGCCUGAAAUGGGAACGUUUAUGAUGUCAGAAUUCACCACAUGAAAUCAUCUGCUGGACUAGGGUGUUCCUGUGUUCUCUUUCCAUGCUGACAAACCAGUGUAUUCCUGUAUUUUGAAGGUGAUGGUUGUUAAAGAAUUUACCCCAAACUGGAGAAUUCAGUGCUCACUGCUGCCAGAAGUCAGAGCCAAUGUUCUCAUCUCACGGAGAAGUUCUAACCUGCAGGCUGGAGAUAAGUUUUCUCCUGUUAUGUCCGCCUGAAGCUAAGUCUAAGUGAUGAAGCCAUGAGAAUUCCUGAGUGGCAUUUGGUGUACAAUCAAAUCUACAGUAUCCAAGUGGCAUUACCCAAACUGAGAAAUUCUGAGUUGUCAUACAUGAGCAGUGGCUGCCAGCAUUGACAGUAGAAAAUGAAAAUGAAUGAAGAAGUUCUUCCAUAGCUGGAAGUCUGAGAUAAUACACUGGAGCUAAACAAGGAGGCCUCUGCAGCCAGAAGUGUAAUUUCCUCUUAUGUAUAGCAGUAGAAUUCACACUGCAACACCUCCUCAUUACUGCCGUCACCAAUUAUAUUCUGAAGGAAAAAAUGAUCUCUCAGUCACCCUUCUCCGGAAGAGAAAGAGUAGCAAGGGAAGAGGAAGGCUGACCUGGUAAGAGGUGUUGGAUUUAACAUGCACAAAGGACCUCUAAGAAGCAGAGAGAAGACAGAGAGGACAAUACAUCAUGUUUCAACUGCAAAGCAUAGCUGUUGUACUGAGCACUGAGAAAUAAAGACAGAGACAGAAAGAAAGAAAAGGAAUAAAAGAAAAAAAGUUUUGCUUUAGUCUUCGCCAUUGCAACUUCUAUUUUAUUUACAGAAUUAAAACAAAACACAAAGAAACAAAAACCACAAACAACCAAGCAAACAAACAAAGCAAACAAACAAAGCAAACAAACAAAACUGAGUGUCCUGAGUGACCUUUUGUUGCACCAACAUCAUGGCAUAUGUAUGACCCUAAGCCAUCAGUCAGGACGCGUUUUAUCAGUUAUCACCUAUGCCUCAUGAAGUUUCAGCCAGUUGAAUCUUCACUAACACUAAUCAUAGUACAGGGAUCCUGGAGUGAUCACUGGAGGAGAAGACAGAUAGUUUUUUAGGCCUUAUUGGUUGAAAGUAUGCCAGCUAGCUUAGACAUUAUACUCCUCUACUAUACACUUUUUUGGUAGAAGUUAGCCUAAACUGUCAUAUAUAAAAAUAGAAUUGAUGAUUUUAUGUUUUAAACUGUAUGCUUUUAUUUUAAAAAAGGGGUUUAUUUUAGACUUCUGAACAACAACAAAAAAGAAAAUAUGAUGAAAAAAUAGAUUUGUUUACAUAUACUUUUCUGCUAAAUGUUAUUGGAAUGGAUCUCACGUUAUUUUCAGGAAUUCUUCCAAAGACUUGUUAAUUCACAUCAUGUUCUAGAAAAUACUGAGUUACUCUGACAUUCCAGUCUUUCUAUUUUAAAUAAACAUGGUAUCUAUUAAAAGAUUUGAGAGGAAGGAAUCAUUUUUGUGGUAAGUGAUUGUGCUCCAAGUUCCAUUAAAUUCUGCUGUAAGAUUAAAAUCUUGCUAGGCUAUGUCAAGUGACUAAAUUAAGUGUAUUUUAGUUACCAUAAUUUGUGAUAUAUAAGUAUUAAUUAAUUAUUGAUUGACUCUGCUAUUUCCCUAUACUACAUUGUCAACUCUGUGUAAUAGCUUAUUAGGAAAUGUGUACACUGGAACCACUUGAACUUUAUAGUUUCUGGUGAUGAGUUUGUGUAAUCUUUCUAUAAAUACUUGAGUUGUUUUUAUUACUGGUAGGUGAGCUUUGGGAAAGAUCUAGCAUUGAAACAAACAAUUAAAAAAGUAUACGUUUUCUUCAGGAUGAAAUAUAAAAUUAAUUAUAGUCAAAACAGAGACACAUAAGUGUAACACUGUAUUACAGAUUUGGAUACCUGGAACUCCUGUACAGGCCCAGAAAAGAAGCUUGUUUUUCAUAAAUUUGGUGAAUCUGUAACUUCCAUCAGAGUUGCUGGACACUUUUACUGGCAUAAAAGAAAAUGUACAAAACAAAGCACUAUAGUACAGACAUCUUAGCUAAAAUAGUGUGUCAUUACAAGUCAUAUUUUCAUAAUGCUGAAGAUUAAAAGGAAAAAAUUGGGAGAAAAAUCAUGUUU